UUUUCUUCACAGAUGGAGGUUAGUCCCCAAAGCUGAGUGCUAGGAGGUCAGGAAUGAGGAAUCUUGGUCUCUGGGCCCCACCUCCUCCUUCUACACAGAAGUGUAGAAGUGGUGGUCUGAAGUGGGCCCAUCAGACCCUAAGCCCAUGAAGAUCAAGGCUCCAAAACCUUAAGCUGUUGACAGGCUGCUACGCAGAGCAAACUCCCCAAAGUCCUGGUGAUCCAGUGGUUAAGAUUCUGCACUUUCAUUCACACAGCCUGGGUUCGAUCCCUGGCAAGGAGCCAAGAUCCCACAAGUUGGGCAGCAUGGCCAAUAAGAAAAAAAAAAUAUGAUAGUAAACUCUCUGCGAUGUAGUAAUAAAACCAACUCACAAUACCUCACAGUUUGUCAAUAAGGAGACCUAGAAUAGCUUUUCAGUCAGACUGAUACAUUACCACCCUCCUAUUUCCUUUCUCCUUGCUCAGAAUUCCAAUAAUGUUUAUUAUCAUUUCUUUUCAUCAGACACUCAGUAUGUACUAUCUUCGAUCAUUCCUUAUCUCUCCAUGAAUACAUUUUGUUGUUGUUACUUUUUACUCAACUAUUAGCUCCCUGAGUCAAUUUUUUGGGACUUCCCUGGUAGAUCAGAUGGUAAAGCAUCUGCCUACAUUGCAGGAGACGUGAGUUCGAUCCCUGGGUCAGGAAGAUUUCCUGGGAAGGAAAUGGCAACCCACUCCAGUAUUCUUUCCUGGAAAACCCCAUGGACAAAGGAACCUGGUAGGCUACAUACAGUCCAUGGAGUUGCAAAGAGUUGGACACGACUGAGCAACAUUUUUUUCAAUUUUUGACUUAUAUAUAUAUAUUUGUAACCCAAACAACACUAUAUUUGGUUUCAGAUGAAAACUACUUGAAUCUGGAAGCCACACAUACCUGGGAGAAUGGCAUCAAGCUCAAGAGAGGUAGGCUUCUUCACAGUUCAAUUCCUCUCCAUUUCAUCAACGAUUUUGAAAUAGCUGCUGGGGAAUGUAUUAUGGAGACUGAAGAGAAGAAAAAGAAGGUUCCUGCUGUGCCAGAAACCCUUAAGAAAAAGCGGAAGAAUUUCGCAGAGCUUAAGAUCAAGCGACUGAGAAAGAAGUUUGCCCAAAGAUGCUUGAAAGGCAAGGAGGAAGCUUAUCUAUGAAAAAGCUAAGCAUUACCACAAGGAAUACAGGCAGAUGUACAGAACUGAAAUUGAAUGGCUAGGAUGGCCGAAAAGCCGGUAACUUCUAUGUACCAUGAACCCAAAUUGGCGUUUGUCUGUGGGAUUCUCCAAGCAAGAAUACUGGAGUGGGUUGCCAUGCCCUCCUCCAGGGAUCUUCCUGACCCAGGAUCGAACCGCAUCUCUUCCAUCUCCUGCAUUGGCAGACAGGUUCUUUACCACUAGUGUGACCUGGGAAGCCCACACAACAAUCUUAGAAUAAAGCAAACUUCACAUUCCCAAUAAUAUCAACAAAAGUCCCAGUAUUGAAUCGCACUCAGUCACGUGCUCUUCUGAACUGAUUAACUGGUAGUUGGUAGGUGGAGUCAGGCUCACCCAAGAAUAUGGACUGUGAGAGUGGGGAGGGGUUAUUCCCUAAGGGAAAAUCUGGAUGUUAUUUCCAAAGAGAAAAUGGAUACUGAUCAGGCAAAAACAACAUGUCCUCACCAAAAAGAGUAAUGUCAUUAGGGUAUUAGAAAUUAGAAAUAAAAAAUAGCUACAUAGGGAGUCCUUGUAGAGAGUUCAAGCAUUUAGAAUAUUUUGACACACCAAAAUACGUGUCUCCUAUGGAAAACAGUGUGGAUAUUCCUUAAAAAACUGGAAAUAGAACUGCCUUAUGAUCCAGCAAUCCCACUGCUGGGCAUACACACUGAGGAAACCAGAAGGGAAAGAGACACAUGUACCCCAAUGUUCAUUGCAGCACUGUUUAUAAUAGCCAGGACAUGGAAACAACCUAGAUGUCCAUCACAGAUGAAUGGAUAAGAAAGCUGUGGUACAUAUACACAAUGGAGUAUUACUCAGCCAUUAAAAGAAUACAUUUGAAUCAGUUCUAAUGAGGUGGAUGAAACUGGAGCCUAUUAUACAGAGUGAAGUAAGCCAGAAAGAAAAACACCAAUACAGUAUAGUAAUGCAUAUAUAUGGAAUUUAGAAAGAUGGUAACAAGAACCCUGUGUACGAGACAGCAAAAGAGACACUGAUGUAUAGAACAGUCUUUCGGACUCUG
ensembl:lncRNA